AUCCAACUGACGAGUUCCGAAUAGGACGAAAGAUGAGUCCUGGAU
rfam:Schistosoma haematobium scaffold272_33, whole genome shotgun sequence.